ensembl:lncRNA
GUGUCGUGUGUGCCAUUAAAAACCUGACAAAGGUCUUAAUUAAUUAUAAUUAUUAUAUGCAAGAAGAGUGGGUAGGAUGUCUGUGUGCGCCAUUGAAGCCAUUUGUUACAUUAUUUGUCCCCUAACCUAGCGCUGGUCCAGAAGCAGAGCACUCUACUGGUGUCAUGUUGCCACGGAUGUUACAUGCACACACUCAUGCACACAACAGGGGGCAUCAUCAUAAUUCUACCUUUAUUGCAUUGUAACAUAGAUUAUAAAUGUGGAUUUGUACACUACAAUCAUCAUUGUAACAUGUUAUAAAAAUGAAGCACUAAAAACGUUACCAAACAGUUAGUACAGUUUUAAUGUCAGGAUUUUUUUUUGAAAGAUCAUUUGUUAGGAUCUUUUUUUUUUCCCCAUUCAAGAAAUAAAACAGAAAACCAACCUUCCAGAUAAGGAACUGAAGAGAAACAGAACAGAAAGCCAAGCAGACAGGUCACUGUUUAAACUGCAAAGAGACAGAUACAGGGUUCGGGGUUCAGGGGUCAAAGGUCGAUGGUGGAGUGGGAGUGGCCGGUCCCUGAGGCCAUCUGUGCUGACAUCAUCUGGGAGUUUACUAGUGGGGAUGGGGGGUGGGAGGGGUGGUCUGUCAUUGAGUGUACACACAUACAGCACGGGGGGGGGGGGGGACUUCACCACGAGAGCUGGGGAACACAGAGACGAGGUCAACACUAGGCUACACACAGCGGUCCGCACACAAGGAGCACAGGAAAUAGAGACUGAUUACUGGAGACCAAUAGACACAAAAAAAUAAACUCUAUCUACAUCCUAACGACUGUUAAAGUAUUUCUUAUUUAUAAUAUAAUUAUUUGUUUCACCAGUCAAUCUUCUCUCUCUCUCUCUCUCAAUGGCUUCUGAGCAUUUCACAAAGGAUUGAGGGGGAAAAACAGCAUCAUUUCUCAGGGUCACCUGCAGGGGGAGUCAUCCCGUCAACAGUUUGGUCCCACUGCUUAAAACACUCCUUCCAACCAACACACCACACUUAACACACAACAGCCAACACACUCCACUUCUCCAAACGGACCCAUGGCAAAUCCAUUAAACAGCGACAGACAGUGGGGCUGGAGUUCACCCCUCAACCUUUCCCCCAGGGGGGCGCUCUCCACGUUAAUUAAGUAAUUCGUUACCAUGACAACAGUCAGAAUCACUCAGCCAAAUGCACUCUCAGUGACCAGACCAAGAGUGCUCAGAUGAACACAUUAAGCUCGGGGACCACACUGAACACACUCGAACAAACCUUGAGCAUUUGUGCUCAUGUUAUUCAGGGCGGUUACACUCGGACUGUCCUGACUGGGACUGCUAGGAUAGACCUGACCAAUCACACUCAGACAGACCUAGGCACCGGUCGGAUAGUCCGUCCUAACGUCUUUUCCUAGACCUCGAUGGAAAACGUCAUGAGGUGAAGGAAAGAUGUUAAGUAGAAUUCAUAAGGACUUAUGAAAAGACCGCCGCGAUGCUAAGAGAAUCCGAAUGCACAUACACCAGGCUACUAAUUAUUGGGAGGCGGAUGUUAUUGACGUGGGUCACGUUGAUAAGUUGUUGAUUGGUUUGUUGUUGUUGAUUAGUUUGUUGUUGCUGCGGUACUAUCUCCUUUCCUUUCAUGAAGGUUGGUCCAGUGCAGACAGACCUGACCAAUCACACUCAGAGCAUCCUCAGAC